rnacentral:lncRNA from 1 species
GUCCCUAAUAUUAGGCACAAGCAUAAUAAUACCGACAUUCAGAAGGUUAUUACAGCAUAACAAUUCUUUAAAAACAUCUCAUGGAACUUAAAUAAUGAUCCUUGAGGUAUGGAUCAAUGUAGGCAAAGAUCUCAAGCUUAUAGCUAUGUUAGACAGACCAUUUGUCCUUUUUUUUUUUUUAAUUAGCUAUCUUGCCUACUUUGUAGAACUCAUUUGGUUUAUGAAAAAAAAAAUUUAUCCAUAAGA